GGCCGCGGGAAUUCGAUUAGAGUUUGAUUAUGGCUCAGGCCUAACGCUGGCGGCGUGCUUAACACAUGCAAGUCGAACGGAGUGCUCCGGAAAGAGAUUUCGGUCAAUGGAUGGAGUUACUUAGUGGCGGACGGGUGAGUAACGCGUGAGGAACCUGCCUUUCAGAGGGGGACAACAGUUGGAAACGACUGCUAAUACCGCAUAACGCAUGGGUAUCGCAUGGUAUCUGUGCCAAAGAUUUAUCGCUGAGAGAUGGCCUCGCGUCUGAUUAGCUAGUUGGUGAGGUAACGGCCCACCAAGGCGACGAUCAGUAGCCGGACUGAGAGGUUGGCCGGCCACAUUGGGACUGAGAUACGGCCCAGACUCCUACGGGAGGCAGCAGUGGGGAAUAUUGGGCAAUGGGCGCAAGCCUGACCCAGCAACGCCGCGUGAAGGAAGAAGGCUUUCGGGUUGUAAACUUCUUUUAAGAGGGAAGAGCAGAAGACGGUACCUCUUGAAUAAGCCACGGCUAACUACGUGCCAGCAGCCGCGGUAAUACGUAGGUGGCAAGCGUUGUCCGGAUUUACUGGGUGUAAAGGGCGUGUAGCCGGGCUGACAAGUCAGAUGUGAAAUUCCGGGGCUCAACCCCGGACCUGCAUUUGAUACUGUUGGUCUUGAGUAUCGGAGAGGCAGGCGGAAUUCCUAGUGUAGCGGUGAAAUGCGUAGAUAUUAGGAGGAACACCAGUGGCGAAGGCGGCCUGCUGGACGACAACUGACGGUGAGGCGCGAAAGCGUGGGGAGCAAACAGGAUUAGAUACCCGGUAAUCCCCGCUGUAAACAAGGAUACUAGGUGUGCGGGGACUGACCCCUGCGUGCCGCAAUUUAAACAUUAAGUAUCCCCCCUGUGGGAGACCAAUCCCCAAGGUUUAAACU
rnacentral:rRNA from 1 species